CUUGGUCAUUUAGAGGAAGUAAAAGUCGUAACAAGGUUUCCGUAGGUGAACCUGCGGAAGGAUCAUUACCGAGUGUAGGGUUCCUAGCGAGCCCAACCUCCCACCCGUGUUUACUGUACCUUAGUUGCUUCGGCGGGCCCGCCAUUCAUGGCCGCCGGGGGCUCUCAGCCCCGGGCCCGCGCCCGCCGGAGACACCACGAACUCUGUCUGAUCUAGUGAAGUCUGAGUUGAUUGUAUCGCAACCAGUUAAAACUUUCAACAAUGGAUCUCUUGGUUCCGGCAUCGAUGAAGAACGCAGCGAAAUGCGAUAACUAGUGUGAAUUGCAGAAUUCCGUGAAUCAUCGAGUCUUUGAACGCACAUUGCGCCCCCUGGUAUUCCGGGGGGCAUGCCUGUCCGAGCGUCAUUGCUGCCCAUCAAGCACGGCUUGUGUGUUGGGUCGUCGUCCCCUCUCCGGGGGGGGCGGGCCCCAAAGGCAGCGGCGGCACCGCGUCCGAUCCUCGAGCGUAUGGGGCUUUGUCACCCGCUCUGUAGGCCCGGCCGGCGCUUGCCGAACGCAAAUCAAUCUUUUCCAGGUUGACCUCGGAUCAGGUAGGGAUACCCGCUGAACUUAAGCAUAUCAAUAAGCGGAGGAAAAGAAACCAACCGGGAUUGCCUCAGUAACGGCGAGUGAAGCGGCAAGAGCUCAAAUUUGAAAGCUGGCUCCUUCGGGGUCCGCAUUGUAAUUUGCAGAGGAUGCUUCGGGUGCGGCCCCUGUCUAAGUGCCCUGGAACGGGCCGUCAGAGAGGGUGAGAAUCCCGUCUGGGAUGGGGUGUCCGCGCCCGUGUGAAGCUCCUUCGACGAGUCGAGUUGUUUGGGAAU
rnacentral:sRNA from 1 species